rnacentral:ncRNA from 2 species
ACGCGCUGGCGGGACUCGGUGAAAUUCCGAACCGGCGGUGAUCCUCCCUUUGCGGGGAGGUAAGCCCGCGACCCGGACGUCGCUCUUCGGCGGACGGUGGACCUGGUGAGAAUCCGGGGCCGACGGUUGAUCGACCGGCACACGCCGAUCGGUCAGACAGUCCGGAUGGGAGACAGCGCGC